CAGGGAGACCUAACCCAACAGAAGACCGAAAGAAAAAAAUAAGUCACUGUUGAGGUCAUACCCAGGUCGAACGAGAAUGGUCAGGCUUUCAAACUACUUUCAGGUUGGGUUGAUGGGCUAUUAGCUCAGGUGGUUAGAGCGCACCCCUGAUAAGGGUGAGGUCCCUGGUUCAAGUCCAGGAUGGCCCACCUGAAACACAAAGCAUUGUGGGGGUAUAGCUCAGUUGGUAGAGCGCUGUCCUUGCACGGCAGAUGUCAGCGGUUCGAGUCCGCUUACCUCCACCAAAAAAAACAAUUAACCAAAGAAACUCAGAGUAAAAACUGGUCAACUCAAAUAAGAGAAUGAUAGACUAGUGGAAGUGACAAAUUGAUUCUUCAGCACCUCUAGUGGUUGGAAAACCAGAGAGAAUGCUGGCGAAAUCAGCCAGUGAGAACCUAGAAAACUGCAUAGUAAGAGAGAAAUAGGAAACAAAUAGCAGGUAGAUAAAUACCAAAUGUUUGUGCAAAUU
rnacentral:tRNA from 1 species